UUUCUUCGGAAAUGGAUUAGCGGCGAACGGGUGAGGAACACGUGAAGAAUCUGCCCUCCACUUUGGGAUAACACCGGGAAACCGGUGCUAAUACCGAACAUUGAAACAUAAGUGGCAUCACUGAGUUUUGAAAGAAUUUCGGUGGAGGAUGACUUCGCGGCCUAUCAGCUAGUUGGUGAGGUAAUGGCUCACCAAGGCAACGACGGGUAGCCGGCCUGAGAGGGCGACCGGCCACACUGGGACUGAGACACGGCCCAGACUCCUACGGGAGGCAGCAGUGGGGAAUAUUGGGCAAUGGAGGAAACUCUGACCCAGCGACGCCGCGUGCGGGAUGAAGGCCUUCGGGUUGUAAACCGCUUUCAGUAGGGAAGAAGCGAAAGUGACGGUACCUACAAAAGAAGCACCGGCUAACUAUGUGCCAGCAGCCGCGGUAAUACACAGGGUGCAAGCGUUGUCCGGAAUUAUUGGGCGUAAAGAGCUCGUAGGUCGUUUGUUACGUCGG
rnacentral:rRNA from 1 species